GCAGGUAGAGCACUGGUCUUUCAGGGCAGAGUAGAGCCGAAUGAUUUGCACGACACAGGAAAAUGUACUAUAGGUCGUCACUUUUUUUAAUACCAGAGUUUUUUUUAUGUUUAUUUAUACAUCCGUUCUUCAGCAUCUCUCCCUUCUUCUAUAUCCAUCUUUGUUUGAGCAAAGGCCCAGGGCAUUGACAAUGCUCAGUCUGUUACUCAAUCACAAUUUGUCUAGACUAUUCCUCAUUGGUAUGGAAUUUUGUGGAUCUCAAGUUAGAAGGAUAGAAGCAUGCAUCAUACAUAGGCUUGGGAAGCACGGGGAAUGC
rnacentral:lncRNA from 1 species